rnacentral:rRNA from 1 species
UACGUAGGGGCUAGCGUUGUCCGGAUUUAUUGGGCGUAAAGAGCGUGUAGGCGGCCAUGUAGGUCCGGUGUGAAAACUCGAGGCUUAACCUCGAGAUGUCAUCGGAAACCAUUUGGCUAGAGUCCGGAAGAGGAGAGUGGGAAUUCCUGGUGUAGCGGUGAAAUGCGCAGAUAUCAGGAAGAACACCAAUGGCGAAAGCAGCUCUCUGGGCCGAUAUUGACGCUGAGGAGCGAAAGCGUGGGGAGCGAACAGG